CGGAUGCGAUCAUACCAGCACUAAAGCACCAGAUCCCAUUAGAACUUCGAAGUUAAGCGUGCUUGGGCGAGAGUAGUACUAGGAUGGGUGACCUCCUGGGAAGUCCUCGUGUUGCAUCCCUC
rnacentral:rRNA from 1 species